rnacentral:rRNA from 1 species
CAGCAGCCGCGGGAAUACGGAGGGUGCAAGCGUUAAUCGGAUUUACUGGGCGUAAAGCGUGCGUAGGCGGCUUUUUAAGUCGGAUGUGAAAUCCCUGAGCUUAACUUAGGAAUUGCAUUCGAUACUGGGAAGCUAGAGUAUGGGAGAGGAUGGUAGAAUUCCAGGUGUAGCGGUGAAAUGCGUAGAGAUCUGGAGGAAUACCGAUGGCGAAGGCAGCCAUCUGGCCUAAUACUGACGCUGAGGUACGAAAGCAUGGGGAGCAAACAGGAUUAGAUACCCCCGUAGUCCCUGUCUCUUAUAC